GACGAACGCUGGCGGCGUGCUUAACACAUGCAAGUCGAACGGAAAGGCCCUGCUUUUGUGGGGUGCUCGAGUGGCGAACGGGUGAGUAACACGUGAGUAACCUGCCCUUGACUUUGGGAUAACUUCAGGAAACUGGGGCUAUUAUCGGAUAGGAGCUCCUGCUGCAUGGUGUGGGUUGGUAAGUUUCGGCGGUUGGGGAUGGACUCGCGGCUUAUCAGCUUGUUGGUGGGGUAGUGGCUUACCAAGGCUUUGACGGGUAGCCGGCCUGAGAGGGUGACCGGCCACAUUGGGACUGAGGUAGGGCCCAGACUGCAACGGGAGGCAGCGGUGGGAAAUAUUGCGCAAUGGGCGGAAGCCUGAUACAGCGACGCCGGGUGCGGGAUGACGGCCUUCGGGUUGUAAACCGCUUUCGACUGUGACGAAGCGUGAGUGACGGUAAUGGGUAAGAAAGCACCGGCUAACUACGUG
rnacentral:rRNA from 1 species